rnacentral:tRNA from 1 species
GCCUGGGUGGCUCAGUCGGUUAAGCGUCUGACUUCGGCUCAGGUCAUAAUCCUGUAGUUCGUGAGUUUGAGCCUCAUGUUGGGCU